rnacentral:rRNA from 1 species
AGUGAACGCUGGCGGUAGGCCUAACACAUGCAAGUCGAACGGCAGCACAGUAAGAGCUUGCUCUUACGGGUGGCGAGUGGCGGACGGGUGAGGAAUACAUCGGAAUCUACUUUUUCGUGGGGGAUAACGUAGGGAAACUUACGCUAAUACCGCAUACGACCUACGGGUGAAAGCAGCGGAUCUUCGGACCUUGCGCGAUCGAAUGAGCCGAUGUCGGAUUAGCUAGUUGGCGGGGUAAAGGCCCACCAAGGCGACGAUCCGUAGCUGGUCUGAGAGGAUGAUCAGCCACACUGGAACUGAGACACGGUCCAGACUCCUACGGGAGGCAGCAGUGGGGAAUAUUGGACAAUGGGCGCAAGCCUGAUCCAGCCAUACCGCGUGGGUGAAGAAGGCCUUCGGGUUGUAAAGCCCUUUUGUUGGGAAAGAAAAGCAGCAGGUUAAUACCCCGCUGUUCUGACGGUACCCAAAGAAUAAGCACCGGCUAACUUCGUG